GCCCAGACUCCUACGGGAGGCAGCAGUGGGGAAUAUUGGGCAAUGGAGGCAACUCUUACCCAGCAAUGCCGCGUGAAUGAAGAAGGUCUUCGGAUUGUAAAGUUCUUUAAUUGGGGACGAAAAAAAUGACGGUACCCAAGGAAUAAGCCCCGGCUAACUACGUGCCAGCAGCCGCGGUAAUACGUAUGGUGCAAGCGUUAUCCGGAUUCACUGGGUGUAAAGGGAGCGUAGACGGCCAAGCAAGCCAGGGGUGAAAGCCCGGGGCCCAACCCCGGGACUGCCCUUGGAACUGCACGGCUGGAGUGCGGGAGGGGCAGGCGGAAUUCCUGGUGUAGCGGUGAAAUGCGUAGAUAUCAGGAGGAACACCGGCGGCGAAGGCGGCCUGCUGGACCGCGACUGACGUUGAGGCUCGAAAGCGUGGGGAGCAAACAGGAUUAGAUACCCCCGUA
rnacentral:rRNA from 1 species